UACGGAGGGUGCAAGCGUUAUCCGGAAUCACUGGGUUUAAAGGGUGCGUAGGCGGCCCGUUAAGUCAGUGGUGAAAGCCUCCAGCUCAACUGGAGAACUGCCAUUGAUACUGACGGGCUUGAGUACAGACGAGGUUGGCGGAAUUGAUUGUGUAGCGGUGAAAUGCAUAGAUACAAUCAAGAACUCCGAUUGCGUAGGCAGCUAACUAGGCUGUAACUGACGCUGAGGCACAAAAGCGUGGAGAGCGAACAGG
rnacentral:rRNA from 1 species